rnacentral:lncRNA from 1 species
GCUCUCAAAUCUCCGUUGGACGCGAGAAGUCUCGUGUGAUCUUGAACCAUUACAGUGGCAUUGCCUCGCAGAUCAAGCACGCUAACAACAUGGGAUUCGAGAAAGAAGUGAGCGAUGUGUUCUGCUCUGCUCUGUUUCACAAGUAUAUGGUUGAUGAAGAUGAGGAUGAUAUUCAAAGCCAUCUCUAAUCUCUCUGUUUUUAAUCUUAUGAUAUGCUGUUCUUUUUUCAUUAAUGAGUUUCGGGCUAUGGAAGGAGAUAUAUUUGUAUUUGUUUGAUUACUUAUUUGUCUUAGAUGAUGGAUGAUGACUCUGGUGAUCGGAAACUCUUUGUUUGUGUAAGCUUCUUAUAUCUUGAUGUGUCAUUUCCUUGCUUAGGAAGUGUCUUUUAUUAAAACUAUAUAUGUUGCCAGUUAACCGAAUUGGGCCGAGUGGUUUACUUGGACCGGACCCAUGAAAAAGUAACAAGUCGGCGUUAUAAGUGCACAUCCCACAUCGUUUAGUGGGAGAGAUACUUCCUUGAAACUUGUCUAUAAAUUAAGGCCCCUGUUUCUUUCUCUUGAUAUAUUAACUGGGCUUUUAAAGCCAUGACCCAUUAUGUGUAUGAGGCCUUUGGAAUUUAAAUGAAUUCCAUCAUAAGUCGGCCGAUUCGGUCGCCCACUGAAUGGGUUAGGCCCAAGUUUUUUUUUUUUCAUUGGUUUUUUCGAGUCUUUUUGUAAAAAUUGUUUUCCACGUUUUGUAUUUCUUUUCAACUGUUUUUGUUUUUACACCUUUUUUUUUUCUAAUGUUUUGUUUUGGUUUUGAUAAGUGUUAAAUUUUUAAAUUUUGUGUAAACUAAUUAGAUACAACAUCCAAACCCCUAAGAGGUGUUCUAGGUUUAAUAUAGUUUACACAUAAUUAAAUUUUUUAACACUUGUUUUUUUUUAAAAAAAUGUUUUUUUUUUCUUUUUUUUUUAAGUGUUAAAAUUUUAAAUUAUUGUGUAAACUAAUUGGAUACAAUAUCCAAACCCCUAAGAGGUAUUCUAGGUUCAAUAUAGUUUACACAUAAUUAAAUUUUUUAACACUUGUUUUUUUAAAAAAAGUUUUUUUUUUGUUUUUUUUUUUUUUGUAAGUGUUAAAAUUUUAAAUUAUUUUGUGUAAACUAAUUGGAUACAACAUCCAAACCCCUAAGAGGUGUUUUAGGUUCAAUAUAGUUUACUCAUAUUUAAAUUUUUAACACUAGUUUUUUUAAAAAAUAUAUAUUUUUUUUGGAUAAGUGUUAAAUUUUUUAAUAAUUUUUUUAAAAAAAUGGUUAUGCAAUGGACAAUAAUCUCUAAGAAAAAAUCUUGAUGGACUAUGAUGAGCCCUCUAUUAAAAUUGGGCUAAAAACAUUAACUCAUCGGCAAAUUUUUUUUUUUUUCCUCAACGGCAAAUUUAACCAAAAACCACCUCGGUUUUAUAAAAGGUGUGUUCACACCAAUUUAUACUCCCUCCGUUCCUUGAAGUUUGAUGUUCUAGUGUUUUGAGUUUGUUCCACAAAGAUUGAUUUUCUAAAUUUUUUUUAUUUUUAAUUAAUUGAUUUUAGUAAAUCGUAGAUUUCAAGGCGUAAUGAUUAACUGUUUCAGAUUACUAUUGGUUCAUAGUUUAUUAAAAAAUAUUUAAUAAAAAUAAAUAAUUAAACAAUGAUUGUUUCUUAAGAAAUGUGAAAUGUCUAAAAAAUCAAUUAUCUAAGAACAGAGGGAGUAUAUUUCUUGUGCCAUAUUUUCAGCUAAACAACAAAAUUGUUUCAUUUGUGAAUACAAAUAAAAAUUUUGAAAAACAAAAACAAAAUAACUAAAACCAAAUGCAAAUCACGAGAUUUGCAAAGAAAGGGCCAAAUAGGCAGAGAAACCUGAAACCAUAACUGGAAAUUGCCAAAUGUCAACACCAGUUGGAAAGAAUACAAUGGUGGUUCAAGGUCGUACUUACUGUGACCUUUGCAAAUUCGGCUUCGAGACUCCUGAAUCCUCCUACUUCAUCCCCGGUAUAUAUCAUAUCUUCUCUCUCUCUCAAUGCUUUCGAGAUCUGAGAAAUUUCCGAUGUUAAUGUUCUCAUUAGUGUUUGAUUCGUCGAUUCUAAUGGAGUAGAUAGUUAGAUCUGAGUGCUGAAUCUCGAUUUUGAUGGAUUAGUUAGUUUGAUUCUCUAUACUCGUUGUUUUAACUGCUUUUGCUCUAGAUCUGGCUUUAGAUUGACUUAAAUUUGAAGAUACGACGACACUUAUAAGAUGAUUGAUUCUUGUUGUGUUCAAGAAAUUUCGUAAUCUUGAAGAAGUGGUAGCACAGCUUUGUUCAUUGAUGCGAAUUGUUUUGUUCUUGAUUGUGGUGAGGAUUGUUUUGUUCUCAAGUUCACAGAUGUUGAUUGUGGUAAUGAUUGUUUUGCUUGUUUAGGUGCAACGGUGAAGCUUUCAUGCAGAGACAGGAAGACAAUGGAGGAGGUUUACACUGACGAAGCUGUAUCAGACAAACAAGGAAAUUACAAGUUCAUUGUCCACGACGAGCACAAAGACGAGAUGUGCGAUGUUUUGCUAGUGAAAAGCGCAGUCAAGGGAUGCUCUAAAAUCUCCGUUGGACGUGAGAAGUCUCGUGUGAUCUUGAACCAUUACAGUGGCAUUGCCUCGCAGAUCAGGCACGCUAACAACAUGGGAUUCGAGAAAGAAGUGAGCGAUGUGUUCUGCUCUGCUCUGUAUCACAAGUAUAUGGUUGAUGAAGAUGAGGAUGAUAUUAAAAGCCAUCUCUAAUCUCUCUGUUUUUAAUCUUAUGAUAUGCUGUUCUUUUUUCAUUAAUGAGUUUCGGGCUAUGGAAGGAGAUAUAUUUGUAUUUGUUUGAUUACUUAUUUGUCUUAGAUGAUGGAUGAUGACUCUGGUGAUCGGAAACUCAUCUGUUUGUGUAAGCUUCGUAUAUCUUGACGUGUCA